AAACAUUUUUCGUCAAUGUAUAUUUGUGGAGUAGUGUUUCUGAGGGGUCUAGUAGAUUACGUUUUGUAAACAGUUAAACAUUUGAGUAAAGUAGCAGGUGUGGGAGAUCCCCUGAUGUAGAGCAGCUUUUCUACCAACAACAUCAUGUGAAUGUAACAAGACCUGAGAACCUACCAUGGGUUUCCAACUGUGUCUCUCCUCUGUUAUACUAAAAAUGGCCCAAAAGCAGCAGCCCAAACCAUGGGUGGUAAAGUUAUGGACCGUGGAAAAACAAAAAGUGUAAGCUCUUAGUGAAUAUGUCC